CACUCUCCAGGACAGUGACCGCUCCAUCAGGACGACGGGACACGGAGAGCCUCGGUGAGACGCUAGAGACUCUUGAGCACAGAGGCAGGGGCUGCCCGUGGUCACAGGGGGAUGCUGCUCCGUUUGGUGCUUCUCUUUCAGCCAGAAUCACACAGCGAUGGGACCAGACCACGGCACAAUCCUGGCCUCUCUCCCCUUCAGAACUCAGCUGGAAAACCUGCCAACACUCUCCAGGACAGGUAAGAUCGCCCCAACCCACACCCACCACGCUCUCACAGCAAGCAGCCAGGUGACACGCUCGGACCAGGACGGCAGUGACCGCUCCAUCAGGACGACGGGACACGGACAGCCUCGCCAGAAUCACACAGCGAUGGGACCAGACCACGGCACACUCCUGGCCUCACUGCCCUCGACCACUCAGCUGGAAGGAAGAGCUGCCAACGCUCUCCAGGACAGGUAAGAUCGCCCCAACCCACACCCACCACGGUCCACAGCAAGCAGCCAGCUGACACGAUCGGGCCAGGACAGCAGUGACCGCUCCAUCAGGACGACGGGAACACGGACGGAUGUGGUGAGACGCUCGAGACCCUCGCGCACAGAGGCAGGGCCUGCCCGUGGUCACAGGGGGAUGCUGCUCCGUUUGUUCCUUCUCUUAUUAAAGCCAGACACACACAGCGAUGGGACCAGACCAUGGCACACUCCCGGCCGC